AGCGAACGCUGGCGGCAGGCUUAACACAUGCAAGUCGAGCGAGCCUUUCGGGGUCAGCGGCGGACGGGUGUGUAACGCGUGGGAACGUGCCCUCUGGUUCGGAAUAACUCAGGGAAACUUGAGCUAAUACCGGAUACGCCCUUUUGGGGGAAGGCUUGCUGCCGGAGGAUCGUCCCGAGUCUGAUUAGCUAGUUGGUGAGGUAACGGAUCACCAAGGCGACGAUCAGUAGCUGGUCAGAGAGGAUGGUCAGCCACACUGGGACUAGGACACGGCCGAGACUCCUACGGGAGGCAGCAGUGGGGAAUGGUGGACAGUGGGCGCAAGCCUGAUCCAGCCAGGCCGCGUGAGUGAUGUAGGCCUGAGGGUAGUAAAGCUCUAGUAUCCGUGACGAUAAUGACGGUACCGGAGGAAAAAGCCCCGGCUAACUUCGUG
rnacentral:rRNA from 1 species